rnacentral:lncRNA from 1 species
AAAAAUAGAGUAAAUGUAUUUAUAAUAUUUAGUCAUUGCAAUAAACAUCAGAUAAAUAAAUUAUGUCAUGAGAAAUGGACAUAGGUCUUCAUAUUAGAUAAAGAACUUGAUCAAUAUUGAUAAUUUAUACCAAUCAACCUUCAUAAAGAUAAAAAACAAUUCACAUGAAAAUUACACCAAUCAACAUUCGUAACAUUCGGUCGACAAAAAGAAAAAUGCUAGAAUUCUGGAACAAGAUAAUAAAGGUACAUAUAUUACAGACGCUCCAUAGUAGACACAUAGUCAAUUAUCCUAAAAUAAUGGUACAAAAUAGCAGAAUGUUUAUCCUCCAA